CUUAAUAGGUUUCUGAUUAGGAAACUGAUAUCUUGCUAUGUGUGAAGAUUAGUGAUCGAAGGAAGUGUCAUAUUGUCAUUUUGGUGGGGGCCAAGUCAGAAGCAUCAGUGUAUGUUCGAUGCUUAUGUUGCCGCAAAGGAUAUGAUAGGGUGUGGUUCAUUUAACCGGAAAGAAUUUCUAUCAGGAGAGCAGAUCAUAUUAUAUUUUAGUUGCCUUUAUGCCAUUGAGAAGACGAUUAGCUAUGAUGACUAUAUAUGCGCAAAAUUAGAAAAUGAAAAAGAUUGUGUGUGCUUAUCUUGUCUAUUUUGUAAUAUAUGAUUCUAAAAUAAAGGUGUACCAUUUAUAAUAG